rnacentral:rRNA from 1 species
UACAGGGGGGUGCAAACGUUGCUCGGAAUUAUUGGGCGUAAAGCGCGCGUAGGCGGCUACCUAAGUCGGAUGUGAAAGCCCCCUGGCUUAACCGGGGAAGUGCACCCGAAACUGGGUAGCUAGAGUGCAAAAAGAGGGUCGCGGAAUUCCCAGUGUAGAGGUGAAAUUCGUAGAUAUUGGGAGGAACACCGGUGGCGAAGGCGGCGACCUGGGUUGACACUGACGCUGAGGCGCGAAAGCGUGGGGAGCAAACAGG